GGCUGGUCCGAUGGUAGUGGGUUAUCAGAACUUACUAACAUUAGUGUCACUAAAGUUGGUAUUCAACCCCCCACUGCUAAAUUUGACUGGCUUCUA
rnacentral:Y_RNA from 1 species